GCAGAGUCUCACUUUAUGUCAUCCAGGCUGGAAUGCAGUAGCACAAACAUGGCUCACUGCAGCCAGGAACUCCUGGGCUCAAGUGAUCCUCCCGCCCCAGCCUCCUGAGUACAUGGGACGACAGUGAGAAGCCUCCUUGGGAGAGGAAUACGCCAGCCCAAGGGUUUUGGAAAGAGGAGGAGGAAUGAAUAUCCAAGGACUACAAGUCAGUCUACAUUUGUUUCCAUCAAUACUUCUUGCUACCAAGGCUUUUGCACUGCCUGAUAAUACUGUGCAGUAUCAGCACGCACACCCUGAGCUUUUGUCUCCAAUUUUGGCAGUGAAGCUGCAGGCAAUAUCUGUUACAAGGGUGAACUCUGGUAUGACCUCUAAAGGCAGUUUCGUCUACAGAAGGAUAGACCUCAUCUAAUGUUAUCUCCUUCUAAUAGCCGUCGCCAAAAUUAUAAUCAAAGCCAAGGCUAGUAGCUCCUAAUCUGUUAUCUCCACAUGCCAAGGAGACUACAAAGGAGGUAGG